ACGCACUAUUAUUAAAAACUGAUCCGAAGUGUUGCUACAAUAAAUUGUAACUAUUGGCUGAGAUGCGGCACUUCGCUUUUGACCAUCUUUACCAUUUUUCUUUCGAAGUUUGACCACCGAAGUUAGUUUCGAGUACUCGCUAUUAAGUGCUGCUGGCUUCAAAACUUUGCUAAAGACUGCAAUCAGCGACGAGUAGCUUUGUGAACCUGCUCAUCAAACAACUCUUUGGACUUCAAACACCGAAAAUAGCUGCAGUGAGUUCAGUUUCGAGCGAUCAAGCAUCGUGCAGUGCAUCGACAGGAAUCCCGGACACUAAGCUAAAGAAGACGGACUACAGAGGGACUACCGUAAAGAUGGCAGACUCCGCUCAAGACGCAGGGAAAGAAGUUGAACUGGAGAUUGUAGAGACCCAAGACGAUGAUGAGAAGACGAAAGAAGCGGCCACCCAGACUGACAUGAAAAAGGCCCCAAGGAUAAGCGCAGAUGAUGUGCGGAAGACUGUCGGUUGCUGCCGACGAAUCUUCAAGUGGAUCAGGAAGCUGUUUACUGAUGACGACGAAGACGGUUGUUUCAGUGUCUGUUGCUGUUGUGGGGACGAUGAGUGAAGAAUAAAUGACGGAGAUAAAGAGCGAAACGCAAAUCUACGUAAUAAUAACAAUAACUAUAGCUCUUACAUAGCGUAUUUUUACAAUAACUUAAUCACUAGUGCCCUGGUUAUUGGACUAAUAAUAGUCCUGUUAUACCUCAGCUCACUGGGGGGGGGGGGGGGGUAUGCUGCCGUGGCGCCCAAAGGCGAUUUCAACCUCUAUCCUGGCAGUUACCCAAGCCUGGGCGAAGAGAUUCAAUAUUGUAGAUAAGCAUCUUGCUCAAUGACCGGGAUUCGAACCCACACUCCGAUGACUUAACCACAACCACAAGAACUUGAAUUCG